CCUACGGGCGGCAGCAGUGGGGAAUAUUGGACAAUGGGGGGAACCCUGAUCCAGCCAUGCCGCGUGUGUGAAGAAGGCCCUCGGGUUGUAAAGCACUUUCAGUGAGGAAGAACGCCUGGUGGUUAAUACCCAUCAGGAAAGACAUCACUCACAGAAGAAGCACCGGCUAACUCCGUGCCAGCAGCCGCGGUAAUACGGAGGGUGCGAGCGUUAAUCGGAAUUACUGGGCGUAAAGCGCGCGUAGGUGGCUCGAUAAGCCGGUUGUGAAAGCCCCGGGCUCAACCUGGGAACGGCAUCCGGAACUGUCAAGCUAGAGUGCAGGAGAGGAAGGUAGAAUUCCCGGUGUAGCGGUGAAAUGCGUAGAGAUCGGGAGGAAUACCAGUGGCGAAGGCGGCCUUCUGGACUGACACUGACACUGAGGUGCGAAAGCGUGGGUAGCAAACAGGAUUAGAUUCCCCAGUAGUC
rnacentral:rRNA from 1 species